AACUAAUCAAUUCUCUCAAUCAAUUGAAAUCAUUAUCCACCCAAACCCUAAAUCAUUCUUUCAACGGUUUCUCUCUGGCUUCACUCUACAUCCUCUUCAAAUCAAACUUGGAUCCAUGGAUUAUUUUCAAUGAAGAAUCUAACUAAUGUUGUAAGUUAUUAUCAUUCAGAUGAAAUUCAUGGUUGAUAUAGAACUUUGGAUCCCAUAUGCUUUCUAUCCAUAUGUUGUUGUUGAGGAAGAUUCAGGCGCUGGUGUUAGAGGCAUGAGUAUGUUCAUAUCCAUAUACAGCAAAGAAAUGGUAGGAAAUGUUCAGGGUAUGAAAAAGGGAAAUCUUGGGGAAAGGGAGGUUCUUAAAUGCUUUAGGGUUGCCAAUAGCCUGGUGAAGAGUACCAUGUGUUAAGUCUCAUGCAUUAAACUCGAUGCAUUCGUGGAUUUUCUGGAUGUAGCAGAUUAUUGGUCUAUGCUCAGUUUACGGAGGCAACCUUUAAUUGAU